rnacentral:rRNA from 1 species
GAUGAACGCUGGCGGCGUGCCUAACACAUGCAAGUCGAACGUGAGAGGGUAGCAAUAUCCUUGAAAGUGGCGCACGGGUGAGUAAUACGUAGGUAACCUGCCCUGGAGAGGGGGAUAACAGCUGGAAACGGCUGCUAAUACCGCAUGAAGCUGGACUAUCGGGAGAUAGACGGGUGAAAACUCUGGUGCUUCAGGAGGGGCCUACGGCCGAUUAGCUAGUUGGCGGGGUAAGAGCCCACCAAGGCGACGAUCGGUAGCUGGUCUGAGAGGACGAUCAGCCACACGGGAACUGAGACACGGUCCCGACUCCUACGGGGGGCAGCAGUGAGGAAUAUUGGGCAAUGGGCGAAAGCCUGACCCAGCAACGCCGCGUGGAGGAAGACGGCCUUCGGGUUGUAAACUCCUUUUACGGGGGAAGAGGAAGGACGGUACCCCGAGAAUAAGUCACGGCUAACUACGUGCCAGCCGCCGC